UACGUAGGGGGCGAGCGUUGUCCGGAGUUACUGGGCGUAAAGGGCGCGCAGGCGGUCUGGUAAGUUUGGAGUGACAGUGUUCGGCUUAACUGAGCAAGGCCUUCGAAAACUAUCAGACUUGAGCACUCAAGAGGGACAUAGAAUUCCGGGUGGAGUGGUGAAAUGCGUAGAUAUCCGGAGGAAUACCAAAGGCGAAGGCAGUGUCCUGGGGAGUGUCUGACGCUCAGGCGCGAAAGCUAGGGGAGCGAACAGG
rnacentral:rRNA from 1 species